UCGUCGCUGUCCAAAAAAUGCGAUGGACGGAACGAGGACUGAAACGAGUAAGUUCUUGUGGCAUUUACAUAGUGGACUCCGUCGCCGAGUCCUGGAUUCAACCCGGUUGACCAACGUCUGUCAGCAAUCCACAAGUUCCUCACAUAUCGCUGAUUUGCGCCAACGCCCCGAUGGAAGGACGGAGGACGAUGUGACCAAAGUUGUCUUUUAUAAGUGCGCUUAGAACAAAUCUAUGAGGGCUGCUCCCGCCACGAUGUCAAAAUCGUACUUGGCGACUUUAACGCCAGGGUGGGAAAAGAAGGUAUCUUUGGCACAACAAACGCACAUCAACAAACCCCAAAAGGAAUUGACGUCGAGCAGAUGCUCUCUGAGAGCACUCAUCAGCAACUGUGGUACGGCAUUUCCAGCUCCUUACAUACAGCUGCAAACGAAACCAGUGCACAAUAACAGCUGGUACGAUGAGGAGUGCCGUGUCGUAGACAGACUGCCCACGUCGCAACGUUAUAAUCGACCACAAUACCUGCGGGACGAGUUAGAUACCGAGAAUGGAAGAAGGAAGCAAGACGCAUUUGCAGACAAAAACGGAGAGCGACUAAAAUAUUUUGACGAAAUUCAAAUCAAACAACGGUAGAAAUGAAAGUGAUACAGGGUGCCGCAAUUAUAGCGCAAAAAUCAGCAAUAUUCUGGGUCUUGAAAGCAUCCAAGUUUUGCUAAAGUGCUAGGCAAGCCAGGAUGGAUGAUAAAGAAGGUCAUUGAAAAUGUUUGGUGUGAUUGGUAAGAAGUCAUCACUAGCGGUGAAACUCUUAAUUCGGGUCUGUAGUGUCAACAUUUGAACCGUUCCAAGGAGAAUACUCAUACGUGUCCAGCUUUGUCAAAUAAGAGAGGAAUUGUGUUCAAUCAAGAACAUACCUGGCCGCACAAAUCGGUAGUGGCACGCCAGCAGCUCCGAGAGGUGCUUAUGCAUCCACCUUACAGGCCACAGCUAGCAGUAAUUGAUUACUACCUGUUAAUGUCCAGUGACUUUAUCAGUUUUUUGCUAAUAUAGUCCAGGCCUUAACUUCAAAAUGCUAAGAAGUUAUG
rnacentral:misc_RNA from 1 species